CCUCUUUUCCUCCCCAAUGGUGGCGCGAUUCCUCUCCCUUCAACCCGUGCAGAGGCGGCCGGGGACGUAGGUGGCCAAGCUAGGAGCUGGAGGCGUGGCUGUAGGGAGUCGGCGCGCCGGCGUGCGGCGAGAUCGAGGAGGAGCUUGAGGUGGACGUUCAUGGCGCGUCCGUCGCGGUCUUCCUCGUCGCGCGGGGCUGCCACGGUGGCGGCCAUCUUCGGUGGACCCGGCUGCCUAGAGGCCACCGGCACAGAUCCGUCGGUCACCAUCAGCUUGCUGGCUCGUCUUCCCCCCGUUCGGGGACGGACAUGGUGGUAAGCUGGAGGAGGCGAUGCACGCGAGUGCACGGACGCAGGCAGCGGCGCGCCGCCACCAUCUCCGCGCCGGCGGGGCUCAAGAUCUCCGGUCAACGGCGCCUCCCCCGCCUCGUUCUCCCCUGCCUCCGCACUCGACGAGGACGGCCCAACCACACUGUUUGGGCGUGGAGGCAACCGGUCGGGAUGCAUCCAGAGGAAGCCUUCGAUCCAUCUUCCAUGGCGGCGCCUCGACCUCAACGAAUCUUGCACCGGUGAGCCAGAGCAGUAGAGAUGGAAGAGCGCGUCUGUGUGGUCGUCACCACCACAAGGCAGAUGGUUGAGCUAGGUGUCCUUGCCAACGACCUCACUUUCUACAACCGAUCUGAAGGUCAGAUCCUAUUUUCUUUUCUGAUGCUGGGCUAACAAAUUACAGACUUACCACAACGCCAUAUACCAGAUAGAAACUCCUAUUGAAUUUUGUUCAGAGUGCGUGAAUUCUUGGCUGUACUGGAUGCUUUAUAUUUUUUAUAUUUUUUGGCACAUUUUCUUGUGGAGCUCAUUGGUUUUGUUGAUGAACAUGUACGAACAGGUUUACACAGAUUAAGAGGACAAUCGUCGGUGGUCAGCAUCAAGUCGCGAUGUGCUUCCAGGUGCACCUCCUUGCAUGAGCACCCCCUUCCUAUCCUUUGCCCAUAAUUUAAUUUCUAUUCUGCAGCAAUAGUUUGGAUAGUGAGGUUCCUAUACUGAUUUCAUGUUUCUAUGUCCUUGCAUUAAAAUUAGAUAUUGCAUUUUCCUUUUGUAAAUAUUUGUUAGUUUGGCUUCCCUAAAUUGAGUCUAUUUUGGCCACAUAUGCCUCUUGAGAUCACUGGUUUUAUUUUGAAACAUGUAUGAAUAGGUUAACACAAGUUGAGAGGAGAGCAUUUGGCAGCCAUCAUUGAGUCGUGAUGUGCUUGCUGCACCUCCUUGCUUGAGCUCCUCCUUCCUAUCCUUUGCGCCUCCUUUUCCUCUAAAUUGAUCUUCCCUCUCUCAAAUCUGCUCUAGAUGUGCAUGUAUAUUUGGAUGUGUAUUGGCUAUUUUUAAUUUUCUGGCCAUAUUCUCCAUAUAUAUGCAUAUUUGGAGUUCUUAAUCGAUUUGGCCAAUUUUUUAUUCAGCUCAUUAAUGUGUUUUGAUGUAGAAAGGAUUAUGUUACCAAGUAUCCGAAUGCACACUUCUUAGGGUUUCUCUAUGAACUUUUCCUCUUUGUAAAUUUUCUGAUUGUGUUGGUGCUUGAUGCAGGUGGUUGAGAUGAUUAAUGGGUUUUUCUUCAGAGAAGGAAAAGGAUAAAGGACAUGCUCUGGCCUUAUAGAAUCUGGUAUCCAACCAAGGAAGAAAUGGUUAGAAAUAAUGGAUGGCGGUGCACGAUGGUCAGAGCAACCUUACCUGAUGGACAACGGUGUCUGCCGAGCGACCAACAAAAGGUACGAGCUCGUGUUAUUAUUGGAGAUCAGCGUUUGGUUUUGUAGUGCGAUUAUUUUUAUCUGGACUGUGGGCAGGAACACAAGGAGGAUGAGUGGAUCACUCCUCCUUCGUAUAUGUUCUAUUCAAUGUACGGAAUCCAAAAUAUAUUACCCUUCCAUGGCCAGUACUCUCCCCUUGUUUCUGAUUAACUGCAUUUUGGGCCGCAUCAGCUGGUGGAUGGCGAAAGCCGCCACAGCGACUCCUCGUCUUCUCUCCGGCCAAGAAGAAGCACCAGACAGCUGGGGAGGUUUCAGACCUUCAUGCAGGUAAAUUGGUGGUAAUUAGCAGGAAUGGACGAGGACAUGAGUUGUGUGCGCUCGAGUACCAUGAAGCAAGCCAAAUGUUGUCUGCUCCAAGGUUGCCAAUUGUGAUUCUGGUCACUUUUCAAGCAGAGAAGCAUGAUGAAAAUUGCCACUACAGAGAUGGUUUUCCUCUCAAAUUGGGAAGUUCUUUUCUCUGAAAUAUUUCAGAAUAGUGCCUUCGGAGAUUCAGGUGAAGUUAUUGUUGCAAUAGGAAAAGGGAGAUGGGCCAAUAGCUUUUACUCACUGUCCUCACUAAAUAUCGGUUCGCUUGGGUUAAAAACUUAAGAUGCACUCAGAUGUAUAUGUGCCCUUCCGCGGUGCGGAUUUUGCUAUUAUCAUCUUUCUAUGCAAAUAACUUUCACUCACUGUCUUUACUUAAGAACUGUUACUAGGUUAAAAACUUAAGAUACACUUAAUGUCUAUGUGUCUUUCUUAGUGCAGAUUUUGUAUGAUGGUCUUGCUAUGCCGAGAUGCUUUGCUCAGAGCUCAAGGAUCAUGCAUGAAGAAAUGAGGAGCUAAGAUCAUGUGUGCACAGAUGAACUGCAAAUCACAAUCAAUUAGGAAGUUUGGACAUUAGUUCGAGCACCGGCUUCAGUUAGUUAAGCCUGCAGGAAAAUUGUAUGGUUAAUGGUUAAUUUGUGCAGUAUGGACCUGCUCGGAAUUUUUUCAUCAUCAAUUGGACAUAUCUUGCAGGAGUUGGAUUAAUUAGGUACGAGCCCAAGCGAAAGGCUUCAGCCAUGGCUCACUUAGGUGUAAAGAGGUGUCUUGCUUUCUAUUUGCUAUUUUGUACCUCCAUUCGGGUCAGCUUUGUGUAGAUUCGGUAGAACACGAGUGUCAGCAGCUGAUUGACAUUCAUUUCAUAUGCUGAAAAACAUGCAUCCCUAACAGAUAAACUCACUUUCUUUCUAUAAGUUUGUGAUCUUUCAUGCCUUUUGUAGAUGGAAUAAAUAAAUAAAAAUAACUGAAUUCACAACCGGAUCUGUCUUGGUCUAAGUAGCAGAAUUUGCUGCAAGUUGUUGGCCAUCCCGGCCCAAAGCACCAGGUAUAAAUAUAGCCUAGAGACAAUAUUUUUAUAGGUUCAGCGCUGGUAACUUUUUCCUUACUAUUGAAGAUCAUAUUUCUAGCGGUACUUGAUAUUUUCUAUCUCUCCUCUUUUGUUCUUUAGAUUAUCCCACAAUGACAAUUAUUUUACACUAGGUAAUGUACAUGUUGAUUUGAAGUUAAAAGUGAAAGUGAUGAGUUCACAUGAAUUUUGUGUGACAGGUAUUUCUGCUGUUCCUUGUCUUGUGUUUGACACUUAUUUAUUUAUUUUGCAUGUAACUCUGCUAUAGCGUCUGAGCCUACACCAGUUAGAUCAUAUAUGUUCUAAAAUGGCGAGUGCUUGAAUUAAAUUGCUGGCCAAUGUGUAUAGAAGGCAAUUAGUAACCAAUCGUUCUAUAAGAGGUUUGAAUUUAUUCUUGGGAUUUCUGAUUGUGGUUUCAAACUCUCUUUACAAGAAAUGUACCUGUAUCUCAUCUCCUCUCCUUGUGUCUUUCUUUAUUUCGUGCUAUUGCUCCAGUGAGGGAUUUUCUGUUAAGUUUCUCGUUGAGUAGUUCCUCUUGCCAUAGGUUACCUUUUCACGACACAGUGUUGCAUAAUGCAUAGUGAUCACUUGUCAAGUGGUCAUGGAAAAGUAUCUUUCAGACAUGGAACCAAAUAAAUGUCAGUAGAAAAUAUCACAUGCUAUUUCUGAAAAAUGAAAUUCCUUUUUAUAUAAAAACAUGAUGCUAUUGGACUUUUCCUUUUUAUAUAAUGCACUGCAACGGAAUAUUGGCUGUAUUUUCUUGUAGAGGUUUGUGAACACAAACAAUUUGAAGUUUUUGGCUUUUGAUGCACGCAGUUAUUUUUUGGUUAUUUGAGGUGUCGACAUCGCAUUAUUUGUAUCUCCGCAUUUUGGUCUUGUAUUGUUGGUCGUGGUUUAUUUUACUAGGGCAGCAACAGUGGCUAUGUCACAUCGUGUAGAGGGUUGUAGCAUGUAGGUGGUCAAUUAACUAUGUUUUCUUGGGAUUGUGCUUUAUCUUUGGGACGACGUGCUGUUGCUGCUCACCGGCGCCCCGCGUUCGCCGCAGCACUCUGGUGAGCACUCCGGCGGUGGCCGAUUCCCCUCCGAGUGAGUUCGUGCCCCAGCACUAGGAGACGUCCUGCUUGUGCUGAUUCAGAUUCUAGCAUUUUCCAACUCUUACAUAUUAAUCUAUACGAGCAGAUGUACAGGUUGGCCUCAAGACGACGAUCCGGCGGUUGGUUCAAGUGGAGCACGUUCUGGAUGGGCAGAUCGACGACUCUAUGGGCGGCAUGAUGCCAUAAACCUCGACUAAAUCGGCGUGCAGGUAAGUGUUCUUUAGCUAUCAAAUCCGUUGUACUUCCGCGCCGUUUUGACUCAUGCAUCGGCGGCUUGAGCUCUGGCCAGAUACUCCCCUGCCAUGUCCCUAGCAGUCGUCUGAUUUGGGCGUCGUGGUCCGGAUGUGUACCCGGGAGCCUCUCUGAUCCUUGCAUCCUCUGGAUCCUCUUCCCCUCUUCAUUGCUUUUUUAUUUGCUUUAAGGUUUCUUUCUCAUCUGUUCAUGUAAUUCUGGUUUGCAAUGCAAAACAUUUAGAUUUUCUCUCGAACAAUGCAGAAGUACAUGCGUCCUUACAAAACAGUUCACUCAAAAGCUUCAACUUGCAAUAUUUUGAUGUGCAUGAUUCCAUCCGGAUCUUACUUCGGUAUUUCAGAGGAAGUGGCAACUAUACAAUUUUUUGAGGCGCGGAUCAUAGCCAUAGUUGUACUUGCAGGCUGCACUUGUGCCGCUGGAGUUGCAGGCGACAGCUGCAAUACAUGCCAUCCAUAUGCUGUAGUUCACUAUCUGGGUCGGAUGGCUGCCUUGUGAGCUCUGAAGUUAUUUUAGUUUCCAUUCCCAUCAUCCCACGUGAGCUCUGAAGUUGUUAGUGGUAGGCUCUAAUUGAAUAUUUGAUGCAAUUAUUUCUUGCCGUACCUGAGAGGUCAGUGGUCUAAUGUCAGCUAAUAUCACUUCCAUCUUCUUGGUUAAUACUUAAUAGGUCACAGUUUCAUGGGCCUAUAUGACCAGUUCAUGUAUUCUUUGUUCCUGGUAGUUAGGCUUACUAGAUGCAUGUGUUAUUUUCUGCAGGUAGUCCUGGUUUUGCCUGUUCUACGUCUUUGGCAGUCUCAGCUGCCUAUAGCUUUAGAUUUUUCUUCAGGUUCAGGUGCUAUAUAGGGUGGUUUGUCCUGACAUAUUUUUUUCAGAUUUUUUUGUCUUUCUAUUUAUUUUUGUCAUGUACAUAUGAGAUUCUUUAUUUGCAAGAGGAAAUGGACUAUAUGUAAAAGUAGGCACCUUAGAUCAUUUCAUGGUUGCAGGUAGAUUCACUAAGUUAGACAUAGCUUCAGAUAAUAUCUAAUUUGCAUUUAUACAAUCAAAACAUUUUCUUUUCCUUUAUCCAGUGUUCAACUAAUGUAGAUGCAAUUGGGUAGCUCACAUCUCCAUCGUUGCACAUUUUAGUGAACUGGACAUUGCAUUGUCAGCUUUGUCUGAUCAAUUAUAUUGUAUGCCGUUUUUAAACCAUGACACAUAUGUUAGUAUGUACACUUCUUUGUUAGUGUUUUCAUUGGACUUUAUAGAUCGGUGAGUAUUUUCCGUGGACUUACCAAUAAACAACAUACCAUGCUUUACGUUAAUUAGACAUAUUGUUCUUACUGUCUAUAUUAGAAAAAUAGAAAUCAGUUCAUGUUUCAGGUUCAGUUAUUCAAUAAUUAGACAUUGUUCUUGCUGUCCCUGUUAGAAAAAAUAAAUAUUCGAUCAUGUUUUCGGUUAAGUUAUCCUAAAAUUGGGCAGACUUCUUUUGCUGUCCAAGUUUAAUAGUUCGUUACAUGUUGCACUCCAUUUACCAACUGGCAGCAGGCCAUUGGUCAUCAUUAUCCUUCUACUCGAAAGAAUUUCUUAUUUGCUUCUUUCGCUCUCCUCCUCUCCAGGAUGUCUUGCAGACAUGAGCCUGUCACCUGCCAUUGACGAGUUUGCUUCUGAAGAUGAUUGAUUUUCUAUGUAAGGCGACACCUUUCAGUUAAAUAACCUUUCAACUGAAUAUAUCAAGACAACAUGAGUAUUUGAUAAGAGAUUUUUAUUGUGUUUCUUACAACUUUUUUCUAUGAAUAUUUAAUGGUACCUAUUAUAUUGGGCAACCGUCAUUUGAUGUGUUUCAGGCAUGUUUUCCAAAAUAAGAAUACAUGGCAUUUAAUUUUGCUUUGUUCUACUGGUAC